AUACGUAGGGAGCGAGCGUUGUCCGGAAUUACUGGGUGUAAAGGGAGCGUAGGCGGGAGUGCAAGUCAGAUGUGAAAUACAUGGGCUCAACCCAUGGGCUGCAUUUGAAACUGCAUUUCUUGAGUGAAGUAGAGGUAAGCGGAAUUCCUGGUGUAGCGGUGAAAUGCGUAGAUAUCAGGAGGAAAACCGGUGGCGAAGGCGGCUUACUGGGCUUUUACUGACGCUGAGGCUCGAAAGCGUGGGGAGCAAACAGGAUUAGAUACCCUGGUAGUCCACGCUGUAAACGAUGAUUACUAGGUGUGGGGGGACUGACCCCUUCCGUGCCGCAGUUAACACAAUAAGUAAUCCACCUGGGGAGUACGGCCGCAAGGUUGAAACUCAAAUGAAUUGACGGGG
rnacentral:rRNA from 1 species